rnacentral:rRNA from 1 species
GAUGAACGCUGGCGGCGUGCUUAACACAUGCAAGUCGAACGAAGCGCUUGGAUGGAAUUCUUCGGAAGGAAGCUCAAGUGACUGAGUGGCGGACGGGUGAGUAACGCGUGGGUAACCUGCCUCAUACAGGGGGAUAACAGUUAGAAAUGACUGCUAAUACCGCAUAAGCACACGUGAUCGCAUGAUCGAGUGUGAAAAACUCCGGUGGUAUGAGAUGGACCCGCGUCUGAUUAGCUAGUUGGUGGGGUAACGGCCCACCAAGGCGACGAUCAGUAGCCGGCCUGAGAGGGUGAACGGCCACAUUGGGACUGAGACACGGCCCAAACUCCUACGGGAGGCAGCAGUGGGGAAUAUUGCACAAUGGGGGAAACCCUGAUGCAGCGACGCCGCGUGAAGGAUGAAAUAUUUCGGUAUGUAAACUUCUAUCAGCAGGGAAGAAAAUGACGGUACCUGACUAAGAAGCCCCGGCUAACUACGUGCCAGCAGCCGCGGUAAUACGUAGGGGGCAAGCGUUAUCCGGAUUUACUGAGUGUAAAGGGAGCGUAGACGGCAGUGCAAGUCUGAAGUGAAAGCCCGGGGCUCAACCCCGGGACUGCUUUGGAAACUGUGCAGCUAGAGUGUCGGAGAGGCAAGCGGAAUUCCUAGUGUAGCGGUGAAAUGCGUAGAUAUUAGGAGGAACACCAGUGGCGAAGGCGGCUUGCUGGACGAUGACUGACGUUGAGGCUCGAAAGCGUGGGGAGCAAACAGGAUUAG